rnacentral:lncRNA from 1 species
CUUUGUUUACUUCCUGAAAAAAAACUAGGACACAAAAAUAAUUCAAAUUAAAAAAUGUUAUAUCAGAGCCCAAGGGAAUCAAGGCAAGAUUUAGAGCACAUAUUUCAAAGAAAUGUGUGUUCCUAUUGGAAAAGCUGAAUUGAAAAGUUGCAAGUACCUUUCAACCAUGCAUGUAAAUCACAGUAACACUUUAGGAGUAGCAAGAAGCUGUUGUGGAUAUUCAAUGAGGAAUAAAGUGCACCCAGAUUUUAAUGUGAAUUCACAGGAUCAUAGUUACAUCAGAAUUUCAACAUCAAAAAUAUUGGAAGAAAUCUUAAG